CGAAAAACCUGCUGCCGCGAGAAAAGGGAGGAUGAGGAACGUGCACGGUCGCAGAGGUGUCUGGGAGAGAAAAAUUGUCCAGAGUCUCGCAAACCGUCCGAACUGGGCGGACAAAUUAUCAUCCGUAGUCACAACAGAGCGUGCCCUUUUCUUCUUCGCUGCUUUCUCCGCCCCCCCCUUCUCUAUUCUUCCACGCACCAUGAGACGUUCCACCUUGCGCGUUUGAUUUAUCGCAAUCUCAACGUGUUGGGGCCCUCUCGACGUCUCCGCGGGACUCCCACGUGAGCCACGUCGCGCUAUCUCUCGCUCACCGUGACUCGUUUUUGGACCUUUUCUGCACCCUUCUCUGCCUUCCCCUGGUCCAACGUCCUCUCUGACCCCGGCUGAAUUCUUUGGUGGUCGCGCGUACAAAACGAUCCCGCCCGAGAUCGAUUAUUCCGGGAUCUCUCGAACAGGCGAUCUUCGGAUCCUUUGAAAUCACGGUGGAAAUACUCGCGUGAAAUCCUGGUAAACGUGACCGUUUCUGAGUCAGUUUGCGUUACUGGCAGCUUCCAUUAAGACUGUCCCGACGAAUCGUCGUGGAAGUCUUUCAUUGAACGAUCGAAACGAGGGAUCGAAUGAUCGACGACGCGAAGGACGUUUGACGAAUGUCGAGAGCUGAGCAGACACGCUGAGAAUGUCGAGACUGCUUGGCGAUUUCGGUUUGUUGAAAUUGUUCGUGAGAAACCCUUGCUUUUUUAGCCGACUUCGAAAAGGAGGAGGUUACUUGAUUCGACAUGUAUAUUUAUUUUUUUUUAUUUUUUUUUUUAUUUUUUUUAUGCCUUAUGUUUUAAUUGAAAGGAGAAAAAUGUGUGCACAUUGUAACCGUACAUUUAGAGCGCGGUUACAUAUAUACGCGGUUAAAUAUGUGUACGUGCGAAUAUUCUAGAAAAUAUAUUAGUAAAGAGCGCACGCGUGAAAGAAUCCCCUCUCCGUGCGAUUAUUCGCGAAAGCGAGGCGAGCUGGGUGCGAACAGGGGCCAGCUCUGUCUCUCUGUUUCUCACCUGCGUGCGAUACACAUCUCCUUUUAAGCUCAACGUAGAACAAGGGAGAGAACGAGAGACAUUUCUCCAAGCCGGGAAGCACGGAACGCGCCUAGUCGGUGGCGGCUGGCAUCGAGAGAGGGGAUUCCCGGCACGCGACCGCCUCGACCAUCGACCGCGUGAACGCAUGCGUCGGGAUGCACGCACGCGGCCUCCCAGGACGAGCGCGCAAAACGAGCCGCGACAUGGUCGGGACGAGCAAACAGAGGAAAAGGAGCAGCGAGACCGGGAGAUCGAGAGGAACGAGUCACGGCGACCUUGGGAACCCUAACCCACAUCUAAUUCGCGAGAGCCUGUUUGGUGUCGAGGUCAUGUACGCUCCUGAAGAACUUUCCGCGCGAUCCAACGUCAACAGAGACGUGGAACCGCUCAAAUCAUGUCAACUUUUAGGGAGAAAUUUUUAGGCGAUUCAAAUUUUUAAGGAGACUCGUCUGAUGACGUUGGAAUUAAUUUCAAGGAAACGUAUUCGUAUGAAAAUACAUGUAAAUUUUGUGCAAAAUGUUACAAUGAGAAUCUUUUAAGUUACUUGUCAUUUGAAGAUACUUUGCAAGUAUUACACACUGGGACCAAUUCUAACGUGAUUAUUUCAAACAGAAAUAUAGAAUAAUUUGUAAUAGAACGUGUAUGCAUAUAUGUUAUUUAGUAAAGAGGAAUUUUUAACAUUUCUUCGCUUCCAAUUUGUUGACAUUUCAGAAAAAUAAUAGAAUUACAAAGGUGUCAAAAUUCACUGCAACAGA